AUUGAACGCUGGCGGCAGGCUUAACACAUGCAAGUCGAGCGGGGGAAGGUAGCUUGCUACCGGACCUAGCGGCGGACGGGUGAGUAAUGCUUAGGAAUCUGCCUAUUAGUGGGGGACAACAUCUCGAAAGGGAUGCUAAUACCGCAUACGUCCUACGGGAGAAAGCAGGGGAUCUUCGGACCUUGCGCUAAUAGAUGAGCCUAAGUCGAAUUAGCUAGUUGGGGGGGUAAAGGCCUACCAAGGCGACGAUCUGUAGCGGGUCUGAGAGGAUGAUCCGCCACACUGGGACUGAGACACGGCCCAGACUCCUACGGGAGGCAGCAGUGGGGAAUAUUGGACAAUGGGGGGAACCCUGAUCCAGCCAUGCCGCGUGUGUGAAGAAGGCCUUAUGGUUGUAAAGCACUUUAAGCGAGGAGGAGGCUACUUUAGUUAAUACCUAGAGAUAGUGGACGUUACUCUCAGAAUAAGCACCGACUAACUCUGUGCCAGCCGCCGCCGUAA
rnacentral:rRNA from 1 species